GACAACUCGCGGGGAUUGUUUUCCACACCGUGGAAGCUUUGUUCUUUUCGUUUUUUGCAAUAAAUCUUGUUGCUGCUCGCUUUUUGGGUCCACAUUGCUUUUAUGAGCUGUACCACUCACCGUGAAGAUCUGCAGCUUCACUUCAGAGCCUAGCGAGACCACAAGCUCACUGAGAGGAACAAACAACUCCAGACGCGCUGUCUUAAGAGCUAUAACACUCACCGCGAAGGUGUGCAGUUUCACUCCUGAGCUAGUGAGACUACGAAGCCACUGGAACGAAGAAACUCCAACCACGUUUGAACAUCAGAAGGGGCAGACUCCAGACGCUUCAUCUUAAGAGCUGUAACACUCACUGUGAAGGUCUGCAGCUUCACUCCUGAGCCAGCGAGACCACGAACCGAUCUGAACAUCAGAAGGGACAGACUCCAGAUGCCCCACCUUAAGAGCUGUAAUACUCACUGCAAGGGUCUGCAGCUUCAUUCUUGAAGUCAGACCAAGAACCCAGCAAUUCCCAACACACAGGGACCAGCUUCUUUCCUAACUCACUUAGGCUCUUCGUGCUGCUCUGGCAACUAACACCCUUGGCUGCAGGGGCUUGGACACUACCCUUAGUCACUGACAAUUGUGUGAAGGCUGCUGUCGUUAACUUCACUUGAUCACCUUAGGCUCCUGUGAAGUGGUGAGCAAUUCAAACAAAUUCCUGUCGUCAAAUCAGGAUAUACAUCUUUCCACACCAAUAGACCUUGUUUUCCGAUGUAGCAUUAUUUUUCAUAGUUGGCGAAUAUACAGUUAUGGAUUCAUAACAGCAAGAUGGAGAAAUUGCACUGCAGAGAAAUCUUUAAAAGCAAUUACCUAAUACUGCAGAUUGCUGAACUGUACCCACACCCAAGACUGAGCAUUGGAUCAAUCCAGAAUAUACAUCAGGUGUUCUGCAAUGUCUGCCUAAAACCAUGACUCUGCCUCCUCCAGCUGUUGCUACAUCUCACUAUGGGUUUCCUGUGACAUUUUGAGCAAGUAUGCCUCUGUGACUGGGGUUCUUACACUCCAGAAUGGAUGAGAAGCACCGUAAGUGGCUUUUAAAAUGAAUAUUCCCUGGCCCUUCAGUCGCUCUAUAGGUCAAGAAUCUGAAUUCUCAACCUGUCUAGAAGGUUCUGGUUUUAAUGGUCUGUGGGCUGCACAUUGAGAAACCUGUUCAGCGAGUGCAACAAAGGUUCCACAUGUGAGAAAGGAAGCAUCAGGUCUCUUGAGCCUGUUCUUUAAUCUGUAGGCUGCACCUUCUCUUUAAAUUCUGCUAAUAACACCAUGCGAGAAAACACCCGAGCUUGAAAAGCCCAUGUUCCAACAUAACUGUCCUUCACCACUCUGGAAAAUUAAUGGUUUGUUUCGAUUAUCCCUUUGUUAAACUCCAAAGUCAAAGAGCUCUGAAAGGCAUACGGUUAUUUUAAGUUUCAGGUGAUUUCUGUUGCCAAAUAUUUUAAAAAUUUAAAAUUGCUACGUGACCUCUUAGUAGUACUAUUAGAUUUCCUGACAAUAAAAAUAAGUCUUUUGGUUUCACCAUUUAUAGUUAGUACAGCUAAUAUUAAGUAUAAUUUUAAAAGCCUUUUAUUUUCUCAGAAAGAAAAAAUAAUCAAAAUCUGCUCAGUGUGGUAUUGAAUAAUUAAAAACAAAAGAACAGUAUCUUCACAUUAGUGUUUAAUAUUAAUUGCUUUUUUACCCUUGACACUGGUGCUAAUUAAAUUUUCAUUUUAUUUUCCAUGACUUGUUUAAACAGUUUUUGCAAAUUAUUGCUAAUCAGCCUAAUAAAACUGAAUCACCUAUUAAACAAUUUUGUUUUGAAUUAAAUGGCAUUAAAAUAAUUCUGGCUGCCUUGUGUUAUAAUGUGUUACAAGAAUACCAACCGCUACAGGUAAUAUGCCUUAGCUUUUACACAUGCUUUAAAUAAAUCUACGGAUGUAUUUACCUACAUGCACAAACAUGCAAAGAGGCAGUGUUGGUUAGUUGAAUGGGUUUCCGGCUGGAUUUAUUUCCCGUCUACUGUCUUCUCAAGAGGAAAUCUAAGGCAAAUCUCUUCAACAACCUGAAACUUGGUUUUCAUCAUCAGCAAAAUAAGG
rnacentral:lncRNA from 1 species